rnacentral:sRNA from 1 species
UGGAGUUUGUCCGAACUGGCUAUGGGAAGGAUAUGGUAAAAGUUCUCCAUAUUCAGUGAGAUGGAAAAUAUCACAGCAUUAAAGAGGUGGCAACUUCAGUGCAACUUACUCUGAGUUCCAAAAAAGAUUACCUGCAUGGAGAUAAUUCAGACAUCAUCCCUACAGACACCAUCAAGAACACAGUUCAUGUCUUGGCAAAGUUUAAAGGAAAUGGAGUUAAGCAUGUCCAUGCAUUUAUUCACACUCCCACUGGAACACACUUCUGUGAAGUUGAACAGCUGAGAAGUGGACCCCCAGUCAUUCAUUCUGGAAUCAAAGACCUCAAGGUCUUGAAAACAACAUAGUCUCGAUGUGACGGUUUCAUCAAGGACCAGUUCACUACCCUCCCUGAGGUGAAGGACCGAUGCUUUGCCACCCAAGUGUACUGCAAGUGGCGCUACCACCAGUGCAGGGAUGUGGACUUCGAGGCUACCUGGGACACCAUUUGGGACCUUGUCCUGGAGAAAUCUGCUGGGCCCUAUGACAAAGGCGAAUACUUGCCCUCUGUGCAGAAGACCCUCUAUGAUAUCCAGGUGCUCUCCCUGUGCCGAGUUCCUGAGAUAGAAGAUAUGGAAAUCAGCCUGCCAAACAUUCACUACUUCAACAUAGACAUGUCCAAAAUGGGUCUGAUCAACAAGGA